CAGAAGUCCACCAGUAAACCUGCUCCUCUGUCCGGAGGAACCUCUUCCUCUUCCUCCUGAUCCUUAACAGGAGCGAGACGAUGGAUAGAAAAGGUCUACAGCUUCUCCAAGACGAAGAGGCAGUUCUUCAUCUUUCCCUUAAGGUUUCGCCCACAUCUCAUGGUGCUUCUGCCAGGCUGUGGCCAACCCAACUUCCCUGCCAACGCUCUGUCAGGACUUAAAUUAAACUGAAAUCAACACGCCAACACAGAUAUUUGCAUUUGAUCAAAAUAUUUUCUUUAUUCUGCAACAGAUGCGAACAUGGUAGAGCUCCACUGAUACACGAGUUCAUCUCGUACAAACAAAUUCAGAAUUUUACAACCAACAACUUCUGCAACCGAUACGAGAAAGAAAGGUGAGGCGUGAC